GUGAAUCAUCGAAUUUUUGAACGCAAAUUGCACUCUCUUCGGAGAGUAUGCCUGUUUGAGGGUCAGCCUAAAAAAAAUCGACAUAGUCGCUGUUUCGCGGUGACAUUCGUCGGAAAUUGGGUCUCUUUAAACUUUGGGGUUUUAACGGGCUAAAAUUUUUCUUUCCAUUUCAACGAAGGUUCCUAGAAUUUACUCUUUACACUUU
rnacentral:misc_RNA from 1 species